CGGACGGGUGAGUAAUGCUUGGGAAUCUAGCUUAUGGAGGGGGAUAACUACGGGAAACUGUAGCUAAUACCGCGUAAUAUCGAAAGAUUAAAGUGUGGGACCUUCGGGCCACAUGCCAUAGGAUGAGCCCAAGUGGGAUUAGGUAGUUGGUGAGGUAAGGGCUCACCAAGCCGACGAUCUCUAGCUGGUCUGAGAGGAUGACCAGCCACACUGGGACUGAGACACGGCCCAG
rnacentral:rRNA from 1 species